UACAGAGGUCUCGAGCGUUAAUCGGAAUCACUGGGCUUAAAGGGUGCGUAGGCGGCGCUGUAAGUGCCUUGUGAAAUCCCAUGGCUCAACCAUGGAAUUGCUCGGUAGACUGCAGUGCUUGAGGUCGGUAGGGGUCGCCGGAACUCUAGGUGGAGCGGUGAAAUGCGUAGAUAUCUAGAGGAACGCCAAAGGUGAAGACAGGCGACUGGGCCGAUUCUGACGCUGAGGCACGAAAGCGUGGGGAGCGAACGGG
rnacentral:rRNA from 1 species